rnacentral:lncRNA from 10 species
UGUGCAUCCCCCACCCUUCUCCCUGUCUUGGCUUCCUGUUGUCCACAUGAGUCACCAGCUGCUGCCAUCCUCUGGAAGAAGGGAAAAGAAAAAGUGGAGCACAGAAAUGAAAGAAAGGAUAAAAGGAAAAGAAAGGGAAGGAGAGGUGUUCUGGAAGUGCCUACCUGGUUCAGAAGGAGACAGCUGAAAUCAAGCCAAUGGAGGAUCAUGAACGCGGUUAUGAACUGCACAUGCAAGGGAUCUAGGCUGCACGCUCCUUAUGAGACUCUAAUGCCUGAUGAUCUAUCACCGUCUCCCAAUCACCCCCGGAUGGGACCAUCUAGUUGCAGGAAAACAAGCUUAGGGCUCCCACUGAUUCUACAUUGUGGUGAGUUGUAUAAUUAUUUCAUUAUACAUGACAAUGUAAUAACAAUACAAAGAAAGUGUACAAUAAAUGCAGUGCGCUUGAAUCAUCCCAAAACCAUCCCGCCCCACUGGUCCACGGAAAAAUUGUCUUCCCCAAAACUGAUCCCUGGUGCCAAAAAGGUUGGGGACCGCUGCUACAGUGCACAGGACGAGAAAGAAG